rnacentral:rRNA from 1 species
AACGCGAAGAACCUUACCAGGGAUUGACAUGACUGUAGCAGUGAACCGAAAGCGGAACGACCCUUCGGGGAGCAGUCACAGGUGAUGCAUGGCUGUCGUCAGCUCGUGCCGUGAGGUGUUUGGUUAAGUCCACCAACGAGCGCAACCCUUAGCCCCAGUUACAAGUGUCUGGUGCGACUGCCGGUAUUAAGCCGGAGGAAGGUGGGGAUGACGUCAAGUCAGCAUGUCCUUUAUACCCUGGGGGACACACACGCUACAAUGGCCAGUACAAUGGGUCGCCAAGCCGUGAGGCGGAGCCAAUCCUAACAAAGCUGGUUUCAGUUCGGAUCGCAGGGUGCAACUUGCCUGCGUGAAGUUGGAGUUGCUAGUAACCGCAGGACAGCUAUACUGCGGUGAAUACGUUCCCGGGUCUUGUACACACGC